UGGGGAAUUUUGGACAAUGGGGGCAACCCUGAUCCAGCAAUGCCGCGUGUGUGAAGAAGGCCUUCGGGUUGUAAAGCACUUUUGUCAGGAACGAAACGGACUGAGCUAAUACCUCGGUCUAAUGACGGUACCUGAAGAAUAAGCACCGGCUAACUACGUGCCAGCAGCCGCGGUAAUACGUAGGGUGCGAGCGUUAAUCGGAAUUACUGGGCGUAAAGCGUGCGCAGGCGGUUGUGUAAGACAGGUGUGAAAUCCCCGGGCUUAACCUGGGAAUUGCAUUUGUGACUGCACGGCUAGAGUUUGGCAGAGGGGGGUAGAAUUCCACGUGUAGCAGUGAAAUGCGUAGAUAUGUGGAGGAAUACCGAUGGCGAAGGCAGCCCCCUGGGUCAAGACUGACGCUCAUGCACGAAAGCGUGGGGAGCAAACAG
rnacentral:rRNA from 1 species